GACGAACGCUGGCGGCGCGCUUAACACAUGCAAGUCGAGCGAUGAAAUCUUAACAGAACCCUUCGGGGUGAAGAUAAGACGGAUUAGCGGCGGACGGGUGAGUAACACGUGAGUAACCUGCCUUUUACACAGGGAUAGCCUCAGGAAACCGGGAUUAAAACCUGAUGAAACUAUCAAAUCACAUGAUUAAGAAAGUUAAAACUCCGGUGGUAAAAGAUGGACUCGCGUCCCAUUAGCUAGUUGGUGAAGGUAACGGCCCACCAAGGCAACGAUGGGUAGCCGGCCUGAGAGGGUGAACGGCCACAUUGGAACUGAGAAACGGUCCAAACUCCUACGGGAGGCAGCAGUGGGGAAAAUUGCACAAUGGGGGAAACCCUGAUGCAGCGACGCCGCGUGAGCGAAGAAGGCCUUCGGGUCGUAAAGCUCCUUUAUAUGGGAAGAUAAUGACGGUACCAUAAGAAAAAGCCCCGGCUAACUACGUG
rnacentral:rRNA from 1 species